UAACGCGUGGGUAACCUGCCUCAUACAGGGGAGUAACAGUUAGAAAUGACUGCUAAUACCGCAUAAGCGCACAGCAUCGCAUGAUGCCGUGUGAAAAACUCCGGUGGUAUGAGAUGGACCCGCGUCUGAUUAGCUAGUUGGUGAGGUAACGGCCCACCAAGGCGACGAUCAGUAGCCGACCUGAGAGGGUGACCGGCCACAUUGGGACUGAGACACGGCCCAA
rnacentral:rRNA from 1 species